GUGCUGACUGUGGCAGCACGUACACUAAAGUUGAACUGAUUCAGAGAUUAGCAUGGCCCCUAAACAAGGAUCACACUCAAGUUCGUGAAACAUUCCAUGCUGGU